AGUGAACGCUGGCGGCGUGCCUAAUACAUGCAAGUCGAACGGAGUGGCGCACGGGCGAGUAAUGUAUAGCUAAGAUGCCCUACAAUAGAGGACAAUAGUUGGAAAAGACGGUAAAUAAUCUAUAGUGUAGGAUGGGGCGAUAUAGUAUCAACUAGUUGGUGAGGUAAUGGCUCACUAAGCCGAGGACGAGUAACUGGUCUGAGAGGAUGAUCAGGAACACUGGAACGGAGGCACCGUCCAGAAUCCUACUGGAGGGAGCAGUAGGCAAGAGUGCUCAAGGGGGGAAACCCGGAAGCAGCAACGCCGCGUGGAGGAUUACACUUUUCGGGGCGUAAACUCCUUUUGUUAGGGAUGCGGUACCUAACGAAUAAGCACCGGCUAACGCCGUGCCAGCAGCCGCGGUAAUAC
rnacentral:rRNA from 1 species